AAUAAGAUAGGAUAAAUAAUAGUCUAUUAGGUUCAUACCCUAAAGGUAAUCUUGUUGU
rnacentral:tRNA from 1 species